UACGAGGGGUGCAAGCGUUGCUCGGAAUUACUGGGCGUAAAGAGCUCGUAGGUGGUUUGUCGCGUUGUUCGUGAAAACUCACAGCUCAACUGUGGGCGUGCGGGCGAUACGGGCAGACUAGAGUACUGCAGGGGAGACUGGAAUUCCUGGUGUAGCGGUGGAAUGCGCAGAUAUCAGGAGGAACACCGGUGGCGAAGGCGGGUCUCUGGGCAGUAACUGACGCUGAGGAGCGAAAGCGUGGGGAGCGAACAGG
rnacentral:rRNA from 1 species